GCCUCAGUAACGGCGAGUGAAGCGGCAAAAGCUCAAAUUUGAAAUCUGGCCCUUUCAGGGUCCGAGUUGUAAUUUGUAGAGGAUGCUUCGGGAGCGGCGGCGGUCUAAGUCCCCUGGAACGGGGCGUCAUAGAGGGUGAGAAUCCCGUCUUGGAUCGCAUUGCCGUGACCAUGUGAAGCUCCUUCGACGAGUCGAGUUGUUUGGGAAUGCAGCUCUAAAUGGGUGGUAAAUUUCAUCUAAAGCUAAAUACUGGCUGGAGACCGAUAGCGCACAAGUAGAGUGAUCGAAAGGUUAAAAGCACCUUGAAAAGGGAGUUAAAUAGCACGUGAAAUUGUUGAAAGGGAAGCGCUUGCAACCAGACUCUGCCUCGGAGGCUCAGUGGGCACGUGUGUCCAUGCACUCCUCCGGUGGUGGGGCCAGCAUCAGUUCUGACGGUCGGUCAAAGGCCCCUGGAAUGUAUCGUCCUCCGGGACGUCUUAUAGCUAGGGGUGCAAUGCGGCCAGUCGGGACUGAGGAACGCGCUUCGGCUCGGAUGCUGGCGUAAUGGUUGUAAGCGACCCGUCUUGAAACACGGACCAAGGAGUCGAACAUCAACGCGAGUGUUAGGG
rnacentral:rRNA from 1 species